rnacentral:lncRNA from 1 species
CCAGGUGGUCGCCGGUGGGGGCGUCAGAACUAUUCUAAGAGGGUGGGGAGCCAGAGAAGAAAACCAUACAAAAUGCAACUUGCAUGAUUAGGAGGCUGAAUUCUAUGAGCAAAUGGGUUUUCAAGAAGCACACUGAAAAUAACCUCUGUAAAUGGUUGUCUCUUACACUUUGCCCAGUAGAUAACUGUUUAAAAACUACUCUAACACGGAAUUCAAAGGUCAUUCAAAUGUGCCUUCAAUUUGUUUAUAUUACUUAGUUUAACAGGCAGUACACACGGCUCACAUAUGCGUGCAUGAAAUUUAAUUUAUACAGUCAAGUCUGGAAGCAUGGUUUGGCAAGAGGAAUAAUUGUGAAUUCAGUUAAAGUCAGGGUACAAACAGCCAGAUUACUUAAAAGGACAGAUGAACUGAAAAAAAAAUCAGUCCAUGAGGAAGCUGUUACAUUCAUCUUUUCAUGGUCUUGAACAUCUUAUACCAACUCAACAAUAAUACCCAGCGGAAACUUCUAAUUAGACACAGAAAACGCAAGUAUUAGCUGUGUGGGCAAGCAUCAAAAAGCCUCAUGUUAGAGACAGACACAUGAAUAACAUCUAU